rnacentral:rRNA from 1 species
GCCCUAGUAACGGCGAGUGAAGCGGCAAUAGCUCAAAUUUGAAAGCUGGCCUUCUGGUCCGCAUUGUAAUUUGUAGAGGAUGCUUUUAGGCAGCCGCCGGUCUAAGUUCCUUGGAACAGGACGUCAUAGAGGGUGAGAAUCCCGUAUGUGACCGGCUCUGGCACCUUCUGUAAAGCUCCUUCGACGAGUCGAGUUGUUUGGGAAUGCAGCUCUAAAUGGGAGGUAAAUUUCUUCUAAAGCUAAAUAUUGGCGAGAGACCGAUAGCGCACAAGUAGAGUGAUCGAAAGAUGAAAAGCACUUUGGAAAGAGAGUUAAAAAGCACGUGAAAUUGUUGAAAGGGAAGCGCUUGCAAUCAGACUUGGACUUGACUGUUCAACCGGUCUUCUGACCGGCCCACUCAGUCUCGUCCAGGCCAGCAUCAGUUUCGGCGGCCGGAUAAAGGCCUUGGGAACGUGGCCGCCUCUUCGGAGGCGGUGUUAUAGCCCAGGGUGUAAUACGGCCAGCCGGGACUGAGGUCCGCGCUUCGGCUAGGAUGCUGGCGUAAUGGUUGUCAGCGGCCCGUCUUGAAACACGGACCAAGGAGUCUAACAUCUAUGCGAGUGUUAGGGUGUCAAACCCCUACGCGUAAUGAAAG